rnacentral:rRNA from 2 species
CGAAUGGCUCAUUAUAUAAGUUAUCGUUUAUUUGAUAGUACCUUACUACUUGGAUAACCGUGGUAAUUCUAGAGCUAAUACAUGCUAAAAAUCCCGACUUCGGAAGGGAUGUAUUUAUUAGAUACAAAACCAAUGCCCCUCGGGGCUCUCUGGUGAUUCAUGAUAACUCGUCGAAUCGCACGGCCUUGCGCCGGCGAUGGUUCAUUCAAAUUUCUUCCCUAUCAACUUUCGAUGUUUGGGUAGUGGCCAAACAUGGUGGCAACGGGUAACGGAGGGUUAGGGCUCGACCCCGGAGAAGGAGCCUGAGAAACGGCUACUACAUCCAAGGAAGGCAGCAGGCGCGCAAAUUACCCAAUCCCGAUACGGGGAGGUAGUGACAAUAAAUACUGAUACAGGGCUCUUUUGGGUCUUGUAAUUGGAAUGAGUACAAUUUAAAUCCCUUAACGAGGAACAAUUGGAGGGCAAGUCUGGUGCCAGCAGCCGCGGUAAUUCCAGCUCCAAUAGCGUAUAUUAAAGUUGUUGUGGUUAAAAAGCUCGUAGUUGAAUCUUGGGCCUGGCUGGCCGGUCCGCCUCACCGCGUGUACUGGUCCGGCCGGGUCUUUCACUCUGCGGAACCACAUGCCCUUCAGUGGGUGUGGCGGGGAAGCAGGACGUUUACUUUGAAAAAAUUAGAGUGCUCUAAGCAGGCCAAUGCUCGGAUACAUUAGCAUGGAAUAAUAAAAUAGGACGCGCGGUUCUAUUUUGUUGGUUUCUAGGACCGCCGUAAUGAUGAAUAGGGACAGUCGGGGGCAUCAGUAUUCAGUUGUCAGAGGUGAAAUUCUUGGAUCUACUGAAGACUAACUACUGCGAAAGCAUUUGCCAAGGAUGUUUUCAUUAAUCAGGAACGAAAGUUAGGGGAUCGAAGACGAUCAGAUACCGUCGUAGUCUUAACCAUAAACUAUGCCGACUAGGGAUCGGACGAUGUUAUUUAGUUGACUCGUUCGGCA